GGGCAAGACACGGGGUGCCCUGUUCAUGCAGGGCUGAGAUCACACCCGCCGAACCUGAUCGAAGCCAUCUUCGCGGAGGGAUUGUCUUGCAACGGCCCC
rnacentral:ncRNA from 2 species